GUAGUUAUAGUUUAACAAAAACAUUAGAUUGUGAAUCUAAUAUUAGAGGCUUACAACUUCUUAUCUACC
rnacentral:tRNA from 1 species